rnacentral:lncRNA from 1 species
GACAGAUGAGGCAGAAGGGGAGGUUAGGGAGGUUUGAAGAGUGAGAAGAACUUCUGCAGUGGCUGACUUGGAAGAUGAAGGAGGUUAUGAACCAGGGAAUGGGGGCAGCCUCUAGAGGCUGAGAACCUGCUGACACCUACCCACAACCGCUAAGGAAAUGAAGACUUUAAUUCCACAACUGCAUGCAACUAAACUCAGCCAACAACCUGAAUAAGUCGGAAAAAGGCUUCUCCAGAGCCUCCAGAUAAGAGGCCAGGCUGGCGACACCUUGAUUUUGACCUUGUGAGACCUAGAGCAGAGAAACUAGCCAAGAUCACUCAGACUUCUGAUCUACAGAACUGUGAGACCGUAAAUUUAUGUUGUAUUAAGCCACUAAUUGCGUGGGAAUUUGUUACAGGAGCAAUAGAAAAUGAAUACACCUUCUGAUGUAGUUUAAUCAGUUGACAUUAGGGGUGACACCAAGAUGUGCUACACUGAACCCAACUUCUGCAUGUUUAAGACAAGACGCAAGGUCAAAAAUUUACAUCAGGUAUCUGAAUGUGUAGCAUAUACAACUGAGUGUUGAAAGAAGACAAAAUCGUUUUCAUCACGAAGAAUAUGUGCUCAGUAAGAAUCAGAAUGUUCAAUUGUGUGAAGGUGGGAGAUGGGAAGAUUGGUAUUAUGGCCUGGAUCCAGAAAUCAGUCUUCCACUAUAGGAAAUGGGAAUUUAAAGAUGAUCAGAAGACAGUUGGGAGCAGAGUGAGAAUAAGAACCCUCAACUGCUGUCUCACCUUUCAGAUCACGAAG